UCUGGAAAGCCCACUCCUUUGUUCUUGCUAUUGGGCUAUCCAGUCUAAGUGAGUCACCUUUGAAUGUAAGAUGGUGCUUGCCCCUCUCUAGGGUAUGGGAGACCACACCAUGGCUCUCCUUUCUUUGUUUUGGGGCAAGGAGAGAGUCAGAGCGAUAGGUCUUUCCGGGAUCAUCGAUGUAGCCAUCCUUAGAGGGGUAGAUAGACUUUUCUAUUGGAAUCCAUGGUUGACCUCCUUAACCUUCCUUUGGAUGUUGUGGUCUAGACCGUGGAGGCCCUAGUAAUUUUUGAACUGCUGCUAUAUUCUUAUUGUGGUCCUCUUAUUGUACUUUUAUGGCGGUAGACUUUCUCCUAGCCAUUCUACUUGUAUUCGGGAAUGACACGGGAAUCUCCAUUCAAAUUAUGGUUUCCGGACCUUACUCUGCCUUGGUUUGAAAACCUGUACUACAAUGAAAUUUUUCCGACGAAGAACACGAUAAUCCCACCACAAUAGUGGGAUUCUGCCCAUCAAGGUUAGGAGGAAGGGGGAAUACCUUGUCGUUGGUCGUAGGAGUGUCAUGUUGUGGAUACGGCACUUUUCUUGCAGUUGGAGCAGGUGGUGGUAUUCUUACAGAUAUUGCCACUUCCUCCUCUGUGUGUCUUUGUAACCGAGUUCCUCUACAUUCUUUGACCAAGUGAUCUAUACUCAAAUAAAAACGACAUCUGAUAGGUAGGUUACAGUAAUCCAUUGUGGUUACCGAUACAUCUUCGGAUGCUUCGUUGGUAACUAAAAGAAGUGUGCGCCAUCCCGCCCUUGCCUCCAUGGCUAUGCAAAAAUGUUGAUCUGCUGCAUUCUUGUUGCAAGCAUCGUUCCUUAGUACUGCUUCCAACCCUUCUGCAAUUUACUUAGCGACAUUCAUAAACUCCCUUGAGAUUCCGCACAGUGUCAUCCAUGUGGAGACCCUAAGACCUCGUGGCUGGCUGGAGUCAAACUCCGGGAUCCAUGUUUGCAUUUUACAUGUCUCCCAACACGACUGGUGCAGGAUCAACAUCAAUAGCUUUUGCGUAGUUGUAUUCUGCUUGCCAAUUAUCUAAAAGAAGCCCCGACCAAGAUCUCGCCCCAAGAUCAUCAUUUCCCCUACUUGUUCUUUAAGAGCCGCAAUCCAUUUAGUCAGAACAAGUUGGGUCUGCUUACCUCCAAUGAAGCCACUACUCUAUGAUGUAGUAGAUGCCCAUGAAUAUCCACAUUCAAAUCCACAGAAUUUGCCUACCCAAACACAGCACAUAGGGAAGAGAGCGCAAUGAAGCUUCAGUGGUUUCAGCUCAGUGUAGUUGAUGACUUCCGCGGAAGAUCGUCCAUCCGUUUGUAAUAAUGUUACAAUAUUCCUUGAUUGGGGGCAUAUAGGUUUAGGAAUCUGAUAACCUUGUUUUUUUAUUGAACAAGUGAGCCACUGAGCUCUGUCGGAGGUUAGAAUGCCCGAGUCUAGUACCUUGUGCUGAAGGGCAGCACUACUCAGGAUCACCGCUCUACUUUGGUGACGCAUUGUGUUGGGAUUAAUGAUUGCUUCGUUGCAAUAUCCAUGUCCACGUUGAAAGCUGAGUGCUCCCAUCUUGUCGUAGAGGUCCUUGGAUAGUUUGUGUUCUUAAAUAAAGGCCACAUCCGGUUUGAAAACAUAGUUUUGAUGUAUUGACGGAAACAUCGACAUUUAAUAGCGCCUGUUUGAGAGUUAGAGAAUUCCCAAAUAUUCCAUAUAAGGAUGUUGAGAGAUUUAUUAAUCAUUCUUAGAGAUGGAGGGGAGGGGGUCAGAUUCUAUUGUAGACCAUGAUUUUGAGGAGAGGGUAUUUUUGCGUGGCGUCUUUCAAGGAGAGCCAAUUGGCGAUCUCUGUGAUGAGGUAUGUUUUCAAAGCUCUGCUAUUUAACCAGAUUGAUUUGGGAACCCUCACCAUGGGCCAUACUAAACGAUAUUCAUUGCAAUUAACUAAUACACACUCUAAGGUUUGACAUGGGGCAAAACGGAUUGUUGUAGUAACCUACAGAUACUCCUCUGGGAGCAGUGGUCUUUGUUCGGAGGCUGCUAUAAGAGAUCUUGAAGGAGUAUUAUAGUGGCAAAAAGAGGGGUGGUCGUAGUUGACUAACUACUGUUGGUCUUGUAGUGGUCUGCCCAAUGUCAUUGUUUCCAGAUCAAUUAGAUCGCAAUUUUGGUUAUAGGUGGAGAAAGUGGUGUCCUUGUCCUUAGUGGAGUGUUUCUUGCUUGCUAACCUAUGGGAAGAGUCUUCUUUUAGCGAAAGAGUGGCCGAUGAGUCUCUUGUUGUUUUUAUAGUUAGUGCACAAUCCAUGUUAUUUGUUGUGGUUGCUAUUUUGAUACCCCACGCAUGGGCAAAAAGAUAGGAGAAAGCAUUCAUUUGAUGUUAAUUUCCAUUCUAGGUGCACUCACACCUUCAAAUAAUUUAUGUCGGUCUAUUGGUGUGUUGAUUCCUCAAAGUAGAAGGAUGUGUCAAUUGGGUCUGUCUCUAUGAUAGCUAGGAUGUGGCAGCUGUGAGAGCCCUUAGUAAUGAUUUGUCACUUUUCUAUCCAUUCUAUCGAGCUCCAUUUGCAUGUAAUUAGACUUUUGCAACCCGAGCCAACGUUUCAUUGCAAGUCUUCCACCAACUAUUCCCAGCAUAGUGUUCGGAUGCUUUCAAAACUCUGUUUAAUGUUGGUUGGGAGUGUGAUUUGAGUGCCUUGUAGCUCACUAUGGUUUAAGCUCAAGAAUCAUCUCUUGUUCUUGACCUUGAUGUAGAAUAUAGGCCAUAUUUGGAAUCGAUGAUCUCCGCUAGUGCGAGUUUGGUCCAGUUGUAAGCUAUCUCAUAUAUGAUCUUCCAGGAUGCUGGAAGAGAUGGGUCUUUUCUUGCUAGGUGUCAGUAUUGUGUUUUGUUUUGGAGAAGGAAUCUUGAGAGGCUUCCCGUUCUUUUCUACUAUAUGCCACUCGGCAUUCUCAGGUUAUUCCACUAGAGAGGUAAAAUGAUUAUGUGUGGAUGAAUUGAGGUAAAAAGUGUCCUGUAAGUUUGAUGUGUCGAUAGCCGUUUUUGUUUGUAGGGGGUAUAGUACUUGGUUAUCUGCAGAAGGUCUCGUUGGAAUAAGCGACUCGGUUGGGGCUACAGAGGUCAGAGGUUGAUUCUUGUAUUGUUUGAUACCCGUCGAUGGAUGGCCUUAUUGUUCUUGUUUAUGCCUGAACUUUAAGUAGGGCGCUUUUGUUGACAUUGUCCAGCCUCGUAUCCUAGCUCCAAACAUGAGCUGCAUUGUUUUGGUAUGCUCUCAUAUUUCAAUAUGAUUUCAACUUUUAUGUUUGAGAAGGGAAUGGAUAGUAUCUCUUAUAAAGGGAUGAGUUUUACAUCCUAACCUAGAACGCAGACCCUUGGGGUGGAAGAUUUCUUGUGGUAAUCUUCUUUCUUCCCGGUCCACACCACCUCUCCAAUGGCCGCUCCUACCUCUGGUAAUACUGGGUAAAAUACGUCGUCAAGUUUGGGAAACCGCAUCCAGAAGAAAACUCGAAUCUCUUGCGGAGCAUAUGGGUCAAAUUAUGGUUUCCACGGAUGAAGGUGAAUCAGAUGAGCCCCGAAUGUGAGAGGACUUUGUUGUAAUGCAGCUUGAGCUCCUUCCUCUAGAGCGAAGUUGAUCACGAAGUAUCCUCGCUGAAGCAUCCGGAUUCUGAUUAUGAGCAUAUUUGGUUCAACCAAAUUCACGUUCACCCAUUCUUGCAGUUCGAUGUGAGAGGGCAGUUUGGUAGGGGCGAAACCGAUUAGAGCUAGGCGGACAAGGAAUGAAAGCUUCCUGCUUGAUCUGCGCUAAGGUUUCUUUUGACAAAUUAGAUCUUAUCUUGGGACCAGACGGAAAUAGCAAGGCGUGGACGGUCUUGGACGUGUUGCUCCACAGUGGUGGCCGCACAUGUGUUGUGGCAUCUCCCAUUGAGAGUACCUCUAAUUCUAAAAUCUGCCUAAUCUGAUCUAGCAAGGCACAAUGUAGAGAAAAAUUUCAAUUGGCAAAAAAGAAUUUUAGGAUUCGGAGAACUUCUCGUUUAGGUGGCCAAAUUUUGUGAGGAUUGGUGCACCUUGUGGCUGCGCUCAAGCUCCUCGCGCUCCUUUGCCUUGUUUCUACGUCAUCUAUACUUAAAAAUUGCUUCAGGGUGCCCCUCUGGGCACCAGCCGCUUCGAA